UGGGGAAUAUUGGACAAUGGGGGCAACCCUGAUCCAGCCAUGCCGCGUGAGUGAUGAAGGCCUUCGGGUUGUAAAGCUCUUUUGGCGGGGACGAUGAUGACGGUACCCGCAGAAUAAGCCCCGGCUAACUUCGUGCCAGCAGCCGCGGUAAGACGAAGGGGGCUAGCGUUGUUCGGAAUUACUGGGCGUAAAGCGAGUGUAGGCGGUUGCCGUAGUCAGGUGUGAAAGCCUUGAGCUCAACUCAAGAGAUGCACUUGAUACUGGGUGACUAGAGGACCGGAGAGGAUAGUGGAAUUCCCAGUGUAGUGGUGAAAUACGUAGAGAUUGGGAAGAACACCAGUGGCGAAGGCGGCUAUCUGGACGGUUACUGACGCUAAGACUCGAAAGCGUGGGGAGCAAACAGGAUUAGAUACCCUGGUAGUCCACGCCGUAAACGAUGGGUGCUAGACGUUGGCGAGCUUGCUCGUCAGUGUCGCAGCUAACGCGUUAAGCACCCCGCCUGGGGAGUACGGCCGCAAGGUUGAAACUCAAAUGAAUUGAC
rnacentral:rRNA from 1 species